GUCUGAAAGCGUGCAGUCUGAGUUGAUUGAAUGCAAUCAGUUAAAACUUUCAACAAUGGAUCUCUUGGUUCCGGCAUCGAUGAAGAACGCAGCGAAAUGCGAUAACUAAUGUGAAUUGCAGAAUUCAGUGAAUCAUCGAGUCUUUGAACGCACAUUGCGCCCCCUGGUAUUCCGGGGGGCAUGCCUGUCCGAGCGUCAUUGCUGCCCUCAAGCCCGGCUUGUGUGUUGGGUCGCCGUCCCCCUCUCCGGGGGGACGGGCCCGAAAGGCAGCGGCGGCACCGCGUCCGAUCCUCGAGCGUAUGGGGCUUUGUCACAUGCUCUGUAGGAUUGGCCGGCGCCUGCCGACGUUUUCCAACCAUUCUUUCCAGGUUGACCUCGGAUCAGGUAGGGAUACCCGCUGAACUUAAGCAUAUCAAUAAGCGGAGGA
rnacentral:rRNA from 1 species